GGUAGCUCCGUGGUAGAGCAUCUGCCUUGCAUGCAGGAGACCCCAGGUUCAAUCCCCAACAGCAUCU